UUGAAAGGGAAACGAUUGAAGUCAGUCAUGCUGGUGGGAAUCAACUUAGGGGAAACUCUAGGUGCACUUCUUCGCUUGGCAGGUCAACGUCGAUUUUGAAUGUCAUAAAAUAAUUGGGGGAAGGUAGCUCCUUCGGGAGUGUUAUAGCCCUUGAUAGAUGUGGUGUUUGGGGUCGAGGAUUGCAACGGAUACCCUUCGGGGCUAGCCGCCUGAUCUCUAAUUGGUGUUGGGUUACGGAUAGCAUGCUGACCGUGAUCUAAUUACUGGUUAAAAGGUUAGAGUGUGCAUAAAUUCGUUAAGGAUGUUGACGUA
rnacentral:rRNA from 1 species